rnacentral:rRNA from 1 species
AUUGAACGCUGGCGGCAUGCCUUACACAUGCAAGUCGAACGGCAGCACGGGGCAACCUGGUGGCGAGUGGCGAACGGGUGAGUAAUGCAUCGGAACGUACCUUUCAGUGGGGGAUAACGUAGCGAAAGUUACGCUAAUACCGCAUAUUCUGUGAGCAGGAAAGCAGGGGAUCGCAAGACCUUGCGCUGAUUGAGCGGCCGAUGUCAGAUUAGCUAGUUGGUGAGGUAAAGGCUAACCAAGGCGACGAUCUGUAGCGGGUCUGCAAGGAUGAUCCCCCACAGUGGAAUUUGGGCCCGGGCCAGACUCCUACGGGAGGCAGCAGUGGUGAAUCUUGGUCAAUGAGGGCAACCCUGUUCCAGCCAUGCCGCGUGAGUGAAGAACGCCUUCGGGUUGUAAAGCUCUUUCGGCCAGGAAGAAAUAGCACGGGCUAAUACCCUGUGUGGAUGACGGUACCGGAAUAAGAAGCACCGGCUAACUACGUGCCAGCAGCCGCCGUAACAC